rnacentral:rRNA from 1 species
UACAGAGGUCUCAAGCGUUGUCGGAUUCAUUGGGCGUAAAGGGUGCGUAGGCGGCGCGGUAAGUCGGGUGUGAAAUCUUGGAGCUUAACUCCGAAACUGCAUUCGAUACUGCCGUGCUUGAGGACUGGAGAGGAGACUGGAAUUUACGGUGUAGCGGUGAAAUGCGUAGAUAUCGUAAGGAAGACCAGUGGCGAAGGCGGGUCUCUGGACAGUUCCUGACGCUGAGGCACGAAGGUCAGGGGAGCAAACGGG